CCCUUAGAUGUUCUGGGCUGCACGCGCGCUACACUGAUGCACUCAACGAGUUUACGACCUUGCCCGAUAGGGUUGGGUAAUCUUUUUAAAAUGCAUCGUGAUGGGGAUAGAUUGUUGCAAUUAUUAAUCUUCAACGAGGAAUUCCUAGUAAGCGCGAGUCAUCAGCUCGUGCUGAUUACGUCCCUGCCCUUUGUACACACCGCCCGUCGCUCCUACCGAUUGAGUGCUCAGGUGAAUAAUUCGGACUGCAGCAAUGUUUGGAUCCCGAACGUUGCAGCGGAAAGUUUAGUGAACCUUAUCACUUAGAGGAAGGAGAAGUCGUAACA
rnacentral:rRNA from 1 species